GGCAACUAGGAGGGCCAAAAGACCAUUAUGUCCUAUUUUUUCUUCAGUUACAAGUUUCCGUGAAAAGUGUAAAAUGGCAUAAUUGUGAGAUAUAGCAUUGUGUCAUUCUGCAGAAUUUCAGGGCAGAGUAAAAUUCUACCGGCAAACAAAAAAUACAAGCACCACCGGCUGCCGCCCACCACCGACCUCCGCCAACUCCGCUAGCACCACCACCGCCUGCUCCGCCAGCUCCACCUCCCAUGUGCCGCUGCC
rnacentral:lncRNA from 1 species